UCCCCAUCCUUGACCCUCUGGCCACACUGCUUUGGACACAGACCAGGAUUUGGCUGUUCUGUGCUGUGUGCAGCCUUUCACCCACUAGAGCCCCCAGGCCUUCUCCACAGGGCUGCUCUCAGUGACACGUCACUCCCAGCCCAUACCCAUGUCUGGAAUUGCCUGGAUUGCCCAGUGACAGCACCUGGCACUUGGACUGCUUGAAGUUGCAUUCAAGAAAUAGACGACUCAAGCCAACUCCUACAACAAUUAAAGUCUCCAGUACUAUGCCCAGUAGAAUCCACAAUGAAACUUCUGCCAAGCCUCAUCCAAGUGCUGGCCUAGGAAAGCAAGAGAGAAAUUCCCUUAGUUUGCAGAAGAAACAGUGAUCAGAUACAAAGGUUGAAGGACCAAGAGAUCCCCUUCAGCUCCUUUUCCUUGAGGUUGUUUAUUAUACCCCUGAGGGAACGGACCCUGAACUAAAUCUUUUUUUCAUGUCCUAGCACAUGGCAACUCAGAAACCAGUGGGGUUUCCAGGCAACUGCUGCAUUCUCUUGAGAAAGCAGCAUCUCCAGCCUGCUUUGCCCCUAGAAAUACUUCACUCAAACCAUGCAUGAAUGGCAAAGAUGUAUCUGGAUGUUCAUAGAAUAAAUGACACA